UAAGACACGAAAAGCCUCGAUUCUCUCGGAAGACCGGUGCAAUUCCGGCGCGGACCCGCCACUGUGAACUCCAUCCUGGAGUGAGCCAGAUCUGGGGAAACGAGGCUGAUUAAAGACCUGCGAGGUUCAGGCGUCUG
rnacentral:sRNA from 2 species